AACACUUAUAAAACCAAUUAACCUUAGUAGAAUCUGUUGAAUUACUACUUACUGUCGCAAAAUGGAUAGCAAAAGUGACCCACUACACUUUCUGCCUUCGGAAAAAUGGGGGACCUCGAAGAAGCAUUUAGGGCCGACUGGCCCAGAGGAAUAUCGGCCUACACAGCACUACGAACCCAAAGAAAUCUACUGGACAAAGGACUGAACUACGGCUUCGAAGUAUACUGUCCCUAUGGUGACGUUAGCAACGGUAUGGUCGCCUUGAAUAUCAAACACAACUUUUAUGAAGUUUGGAUUCAGUGCCCAAAAGAUGACACAGAGUCCCUAGAAAAUGCACUUCUAUCUACAAACGUAAUAGAUUGGUCACAAGAAAUUACAGUGCCAUUUAUACCUCAGCAUCUUUAUGACAUGCUUCUGAGAGUGACUAAAAAGCUUGGAGUGGUGUUUGAAGGGGAAAACUGGCCUACCUUGGAUGUUAUUAUUUAUCAAAAGACACAGCCUGCUUUUGAAAAUAUUUGUUUACCAGAUGGCAUGCAGUUUAAGUCGGUCUCAGAAAAGGACGUAAGUUUGAUAUGAUUGAUUCAAAAUGGAUAAUACGCUACGACGGAUCGAAAAGCCUAUUCAGGCUCUUGGUAAAAGCUGACCUUAGUUAUGGCCUUUAUAAAGACGAUAUUUUAAUAUCAUGGAUCUUUAUCAGUGAAGUUGGAAACAUGGCCCAUUUGCACACCCCUGAAGAAUAUAGGAGAAUGGGCUACGCAACCUUAUUACUAAAACUUCUUUGUAAUAAGUAUUUAGAAGAGAAACGAGAUCUUUUUGGAUAUUGCGAGAGUAGAAAUGUAAAAGCUCUUAAUUUAUAUAAAAAGCUCGGAUUUGAAAAACUUCAUUAUAUUCGAUAUACUGUCGUUAAGCCUAAAUAAACCGCCAACAUCAA